rnacentral:rRNA from 3 species
UACAGAGGGUGCGAGCGUUAAUCGGAAUGACUGGGCGUAAAGCGCGCGUAGGCGGUUAUAUAAGUUGGGUGUGAAAUCCCUGGGCUCAACCUAGGAAUUGCAUUCAAAACUGUAUGACUUGAGUGAAGUAGAGGUGAGUGGAAUUUCCGGAGUAGCGGUGAAAUGCGUAGAUACCGGAAGGAACACCAGUGGCGAAGGCGACUCACUGGGCUUUAACUGACGCUGAGGUGCGAAAGCGUGGGGAGCAAACAGG